UAUAUCUGUGUAUUAUAUAUUUUUAUAUAUUUAUUUAUUUUUAUUUUAAUUAUUUAUUUUGAUUUCAACUCCUAUUUACUACCAAACAAAGAGACUUCUUCUACUCAAACUCAUUACCAUUACUAAGCAUUUGAUUCCAAUUACCAUUCUGAUUCCAAUAUUUGAACCAAACGCUUACUAACAGUUCAAACACACAA